rnacentral:rRNA from 1 species
UACGUAGGGUGCGAGCGUUAAUCGGAAUUACUGGGCGUAAAGCGUGCGCAGGCGGUUUUGUAAGCCAGAUGUGAAAUCCCCGGGCUCAACCUGGGAAUGGCAUUUGGGACUGCAAGGCUGGAGUGCGGCAGAGGAGACUGGAAUUCCUGGUGUAGCAGUGAAAUGCGUAGAUAUCAGGAGGAAUACCGAUGGCGAAGGCAGGUCUCUGGGCUGACACUGACGCUCGAUG